CCUACGGGGGGCUGCAGUAAGGAAUAUUGGUCAAUGGAGGAAACUCUGAACCAGCCAUCCCGCGUGAAGGAUGAAGGGGCUCUGCCUUGUAAACUUCUUUUGUCUGGGGCGAAAAAGCUCGAUUUAUCGAGAACUGACGGUACCAGAAGAAUAAGCACCGGCUAACUCCGUGCCAGCAGCCGCGGUAAUCCGGAGGGUGCAAGCGUUAUCCGGGAUCACUGGGUUGAAGGCGGCCUUAGACGUCUGAGGUGAAAGGCGGUGGCUUAACCAUGGAAUUGCCAUUGAUACUGCAGAGCUUGAAUGAGGUUGAGGUUGGCGGAAUGUGACAUGUAGCGGUGAAAUGCUUAGAGAUGUCAUGGAACACCGAUUGCGAAGGCAGCUGACUGGACCUAUAUUGACGCUGAGGCACGAAAGCGUGGGGAGCGAACAGGAUUAGAUACCCCAGUAGUC
rnacentral:rRNA from 1 species